GGCGGGCGCUCAAAAGAGAAAAAAAUAAACUGAAACGGUUUGUUCAAUGGCUGCAACGGGUGUACCUGUCACAACAUUCUGUAAAACUGUUACGCCUAAUAAUUAAAAGAAAGCGAGUCUGAAAGUGAGGGCGAGUGGAGCCAGAGCUGCAGACACAACCGUUACAUAGGCUACAUACUGUACUGAAGCUGCUGCUCCUUCUACAUGUUUAUGUUUAUGCCCUAGCAACUGGCAAGAACUAGCCUACAUAGGCUAUUGGACCGAAGAGCCAUCCAUCAUGCACCUUGUGAUCUGCAUGGCAACGCUUUGUUGGACACAGGAAAUGAGGCUGGCUGUUGACAAGCAUGAAUCACACAUCCAAGUGAGUCUCUCUUCUCCUUUAGCAUCUGCUGACCUGUCCCUGUGCUUCCUCGCGCACUCUGUCUCCAUAAAGUAUUGGCGGGGGAAUGACUUCCGCUUUUGAUGGCUAGCAGCUGCCGGUUGCGGCUUGAUGAUGAUGCACUGCUAUCACUGGGGCUGGCGCGGACACGCAGAUUGAACUGGACAGACGAGUGAAGAGAGGGAGCGGGAGCACUGCUAAAAGAGGUAGAGCUCUGAUGCCGAGAGACCUUGGACACACUGGCUGACCGCGUCCGGUCCGCGUCAUCUCUGAGACCUUUGUCAGUGCGCUGCCGGUGGCCUGGCCUGCCAGCUGCGUGUCCAGCCUGGCAACACCUCCGGUGACGCGCGUGCUCUUAACCGAGAUGACGCGUGCGUGCAUGCAGAGCGAUCGAAAGCCCCGCGUGUUUCGCUCGCUCAGUCAGAGGACAGCAGGCUUUUGUCAUUACAUAAGGGACCAGUGGGACACAGGCAUCGCUCUGCGUACACUUCUCCGCUAAGUGGACAGUCCCCUCCAGACGCACGCGGCCGGCUAAGCAGGCUCUUGGUAAGCGAGGCUACACUGCCCGGUUCUAAUGAACUGCGCCGAGCCUGUUGUUAAAACCUGGGAAUCAAUAGACCUUCUCUCCUGAAACUGCCCGUCCCAGUGCGAUUUGCAGCUGUCCCAUGCAAUUACAUCUCCCAGAAUUGACUCCGACUUGCGUUGAUUUGUAAAUGGCUGAAGCUUUCUGGGAGAAACUGGGGUUAAGUGUUUUUCAGCUGCAGGACAACAGCAAGGCCAUAGACAGGGAGUCGGACCCACAAUUCCCCGGCGCUGUACUGUAAGCUCCACUCCUCACUGUUUCCCUGACUGGCCCCACUAGUCGCACAUUUGUGUAAGCAUGGUAUUAAUGUGAAGCGCCAGUGUGUUGUGUUGUUUUGGCUAAUGCCUUGCAGUAAAUGGGACUCAGUACCACA